GACGUAGGGGGCCAGCGUUGUUCGGAAUUACUGGGUGUAAAGGGUUCGUAGGCGGUGUGGCAAGUCGGGAGUGAAAUCUCUGGGCUCAACUCAGAGACUGCUUCCGAAACUGCUGUGCUGGAGUGUGGGAGAGGCGCGUGGAAUUGCAGGUGUAGCGGUGAAAUGCGUAGAUAUCUGCAGGAACACCCGUGGCGAAAGCGGCUCUCUGGGACGGUACUGACGCUGAGACGCGAAAGCGUGGGGAGCGAACAGG
rnacentral:rRNA from 1 species